UACGGAGGGUGCGAGCGUUAAUCGGAAUUACUGGGCGUAAAGGGUGCGCAGGCGGCGUCGCAAGUCAGGCGUGAAAUCCCCGGGCUUAACCUGGGAACUGCACUUGAAACUACGAUGCUGGAGUAUGGCAGAGGGAGGUGGAAUUCCACGUGUAGCGGUGAAAUGCGUAGAGAUGUGGAGGAACACCGAUGGCGAAGGCAGCCUCCUGGGCCAAUACUGACGCUCAUGCACGAAAGCGUGGGGAGC
rnacentral:rRNA from 1 species